rnacentral:rRNA from 1 species
GAUUGAAGUCAGUCGUACCGACGGAGAAUCAGCUUUUGGGGUGCGUGAUUCGGGUAUUCGAGGAGUUUAAAAGCCCUCUUGUGCUUGCAGUUGUUGCGUGCUACUUGGGCGCACUUCUUCGUAUUGGUAGGUUAACAUCAAUUUUGGACGUUAUAAAAUGAUCGGAGGAAUGUAGCUUCGAUUUUUCGAAGUGUUAUAGCCUUUGGUAAAUGUGACGACCGGGAUUGAGGAUUGCAACGAAUGCUUUUUGGCUAUCCGUCUGGCCUUCUGAUGGUUUCUUUGGGAUCGAAAGCGUGCUUACGAUUCAAAGCUGGC